UACAGAGGGUGCAAGCGUUAAUCGGAAUUACUGGGCGUAAAGCGUGCGUAGACGGUUAUGUAAGUCAGGUGUGAAAGCCCCGGGCUCAACCUGGGAAUUGCAUUUGAGACUGCAUAGCUAGGGUGCGGAAGAGGGAAGCGGAAUUUCCGGUGUAGCGGUGAAAUGCGUAGAUAUCAGGAGGAACACCAAUGGCGAAGGCAGCUCGCUGGGACGUGACUGACGCUGAGACGCGAAAGCGUGGGGAGCAAACAGG
rnacentral:rRNA from 1 species